CGGACGGGUGAGUAACGCGUGGGGAACCUGCCCUGUACAGGGGGAUAACACUUAGAAAUAGGUGCUAAUACCGCAUAAGCGCACAGUAUCGCAUGAUACAGUGUGAAAAACUCCGGUGGUACAGGAUGGACCCGCGUCUGAUUAGCUGGUUGGCGGGGUAACGGCCCACCAAAGCGACGAUCAGUAGCCGGACUGAGAGGUUGAACGGCCACAUUGGGACUGAGACACGGCCCAGACUCCUACGGGAGGCAGCAG
rnacentral:rRNA from 1 species